rnacentral:rRNA from 1 species
GACGAACGCUGGCGGCGUGAUUAACACAUGCAAGUCGAACGAAGUGGCGAACGGGUGAGUAACGCGUAAUCAACAUGCCCUUCAGAGGGGGACAACAGUUGGAAACGACUGCUAAUACCGAAUAAUGACGGAGGGGAGUGCGGCUGAUUAGCUAGUUGGAGGGGUAAAGGCCCACCAAGGGGAUGAUCAGUAGCCGGUCUGAGAGGAUGAACGGCCACAUUGGGACUGAGACACGGCCCAGACUCCUCCGGGAGGCAGCAGUGGGGAAUCUUCCGCAAUGGACGAAAGUCUGACGGAGCAACGCCGCGUGAGUGAUGACGGCCUUCGGGUUGUAAAGCUCUGUUAAUCGGGACGCGGUACCGGAAUAGAAAGCCACGGCUAACUACGUGCCAGCAGUCGCGGUAAUAC